GUUCCAGCUGUCUGAUUACUAAAUGAGUUGUGAGAUGACAGUUCACACGGAGGAGAGGCUGAGAGCAGAACAAACCUUAUCUGGGGUGUUCAGUGGUCAAUUUAAUACUUUUGUGACUGUUUUGGGUGGAAACAGAUCCAAAUAAGGUUUAGACAUUUAGAUCAUGGACAUUCUCAUGUCUCUAUUUCAAACAUCUAUGUGCCUCACUGAAAAUAUCCAGAUGGGGCUCUGAACACAAGCUUUACAACGUUCCAAUCUCAGUCUCUAGUCUCAUGUCGACGUGUUUUGUAAGGCUAUCUCAGAAUCAUCUCUGUUUUGUCUGAUCCUGGAUGUGACAUUAUGUUGAGUUGUCCAAAUCCUGCUGGAUUUGUUUAACCUCGUUUUUUGCAGCCCACCCUGCCCUAACAGGAAAUAAACAAAAGAGAAGAGGAUUUCAAGCUACAGGUCUCCACUGAAUAAACAUAAAAUUCAUCUCCUCAAGUUCAUCUGGGGGGUCAUUUCCAUAGGGUGGCUCUCAUGAGGAAAAUGUUUUGGCCAAGCUCAGCUAAGAAUGUGACAUUUUAUAUAUAAACCUGAAAGACCAGAAAUGUCAUAUUUAUUGGGUGGC
rnacentral:misc_RNA from 1 species